UCGGCGCGUGCCACUACAUGCUCCACUUGCGCAUCAUGCAGGAAAUCAAUGUCGUAAACUGAUAUAUGGCCGUCGGUCCCUGCCGGUUUUGGUGCACCUCAUAUUGCAGGCCAUCCUUGAUGUACUCAGCCUUAAGUGGCUUCACUGUUUUCGGUAUGUCCAGCAAAUUGUAUUUACGCUGUUUGGUCUCCACAUUGUAGCAGUCGCCGCAACGACAAUGAUCACGUAGCCAAAAUUUCUGGGCGCAGAAGUAGACUUGAGGGUAGCGUUAGUUGGCUGAUACUAAACGCCGGACUUUGAUUGCGGAAAAAUUUAGUACUCAACCAGUUUUGCGGGUAUGCGUCCGCUUACAUGCUUGUGAGGAUGAAAAUAUCUUCGAAAUAUUAUUUUUGUACAAUAAUCAAAUAGUCAUUUGGGCGGAGCUCGUCUUGAUAAGCCGCAAACGUUGUUGAAGCGUCAAUAGAAAAUACUGAUAAGGUCAAGAAUUCUAAAAUUAUCUUUUCAAUCCGCAGAUCAAUGUGGUGCCGAUCGCAAAACAAGUAUGGAUAAAUGCCCAGCCGAUAUUUACUUCAGUAUAGUUCAAUAUAUAAU